AGUGAACGCUGGCGAUAGGCCUAACACAUGCAAGUCGAACGGCAGCACAGUAAGAGCUUGCUCUUACGGGUGGCGAGUGGCGGACGGGUGAGGAAUACAUCGGAAUCUACUUUUUCGUGGGGGAUAACGUAGGGAAACUUACGCUAAUACCGCAUACGAUCUACGGGUGAAAGCAGGGGAUCUUCGGACCUUGCGCGAUUGAAUGAGCCGAUGUCGGAUUAGCUAGUUGGCGGGGUAAAGGCCCACCAAGGCGACGAUCCGUAGCUGGUCUGAGAGGAUGAUCAGCCACACUGGAACUGAGACACGGUCCAGACUCCUACGGGAGGCAGCAGUGGGGAAUAUUGGACAAUGGGCGCAAGCCUGAUCCAGCCAUACCGCGUGGGUGAAGAAGGCCUUCGGGUUGUAAAGCCCUUUUGUUGGGAAAGAAAAGCAGCAGGUUAAUACCCCGCUGUUCUGACGGUACCCAAAGAAUAAGCACCGGCUAACUUCGUG
rnacentral:rRNA from 1 species